CAAUAGCGUAUAUUAAAGUUGUUGCAGUUAAAAAGCUCGUAGUUGGAUUUCUGGUGGGAGCGAUCGGUCCGGCGCUUAGCGCGAGUACUUGCAUCGUCUCCGGCCAUCCUUGGGGAGAGUCUGUCUGGCAUUAGGUUGUCGGGCAGAGGAUCCUCAUCGUUUACUGUGAAAAAAUUAGAGUGUUCAAAGCAGGCUUAUGCCGUUGAAUAUAUUAGCAUGGAAUAAUAAGAUAGGACUUUGGUACUAUUUUGUUGGUUUGCGCACCAAAGUAAUGAUUAAUAGGGACAGUUGGGGGUAUUCGUAUUCCGUUGUCAGAGGUGAAAUUCUUGGAUUUACGGAAGACGAACUACUGCGAAAGCAUUUACCAAGGAUGUUUUCAUUAA
rnacentral:rRNA from 1 species